UAUAAAUGUACGUGUUUGUAGAUACACUUGUAAAUCAAAUCGGUGCUGGUCAAAUUGACGAUAAUGAAGUCUUUGAAAAUUUUGCUGAUGAAUUUAACUUUAUUAAUAAAAAUGGAGAAAAUGAAUCAUUCAUAAAAAAGUUUAAUACAUUAGCGAGACGUAUGAGGUUUUCCUUUAAAGAUAAUGCGCCGGAGAAUCCAAUUGAAUGGAUGCAAAAUGCAAUUGAAGAACUGUUGGCGCACAUUUUUAGAGGAUUUUCAAGUGAUGACUAUGUCGGCUUAGUUCUCGAAAAUGAAGAAUUCCCCGAGCGACCUGUUUACAUUUCCUUCCGCAAAUUAUCCCAAUAUAAUGUCGCAAUGGUGAUGGAAACUGUAGGAAAUGUUCUUCAGAGCAAUCGUGCGUUCUUUGUUAAUGAUCGUUUAUCGAUACGGGUGGACAGGGUGGCUUUACCUGUGGGAAAAGGAUUUCGUACCGCCACCGAUGGAUUAGCCGUAAGUUAUAAUGAACAUUGUCUUAGUAAAAAUAGCAUAUAUGUUAUUGAAAAUGAUAACAAUAAUUGUUUAGCAUUAGCAUUAGUAGUCGCAAGAGAGUAUUGCAAUAAUAAUUUUAAAAGAUCCACUUUAGAAAAAUUUAAAGGAAUAAACGGGAAAAAACUUUUAGAACAAUUAGGUGCUGAAUUAUGUAGAGAGGCUGAUGUCGAUUUAGCAAAUGGAGGUAAUUACACACAUGUUGAGAAAUUUCAGAAAUAUUUGGCAAAUUAUACAAUUAUUGUAUACGAUGAUAGAAUGGGUCGAUCAGUGUACUAUGUCGGUCCACGGGCUCAAGGAAGGCCAAGUUUAAAUUUGAUAUUUGAGGAGAAUCAUUUCAAUGUAAUUCUAAGUACAACCGGUGCAUUCGCGACAGCGUAUUUCUGUGAUCUUUGCCGAGUACGAUAUUCACGUCGUGAUCGUCACAAAUCUUGCCCCUACACGUGUCCCUGUUGUUUAGAAAAGCCACCUUGUAAUUUAGUUCAUAGCGAUAUAAAAUGUCAAAAUUGUCAAAGAAAUUUUCGGGGUGCCCAAUGUUUUGAAAAUCAUAUUACAAAAAAUAUAUGCGCGAAAAUAAAAAAAUGCCCAACAUGUUUAACUUUCGUAAAACUUGAUUCUAAAAGUUCAAAACAUAUUUGCGGUAUGAAGUUUUGCCGAACCUGCGGUGUAAACAGACCAAUAAGGCAUUUUUGUUUCAUGAAACAAAACAAAAUUAAUCAAAACAAGCAAUUAGACAAUCAACACAAAUACUUAUUUGUUUAUUACGAUUUUGAAACAAGACAAGAAAAAACUAUCAAUAAUGCGUACCUACACGAAGUAAAUUUGUGUGUGGCACAACAAGUUUGUGCACAUUGUAUUAAUGAAGAUGACAUUUCAGUAAACUGUAAUUUUUGUGGAGUAAGACAACAUAUUUUUUAUGAGGACGCAGUAACAAAUUUGUUAAAUCAUAUCGCUAAACAAUCGAAAAAAUUCAAAGUUACAGCAAUCGCUCACAAUAUGAGAGGUUUCGAUGGCUGUUUUAUAUUACGUGAACUUUUUGCAAAUAGCAGUAGGUGGCAACCGGAGGUGGUUCGUUCGGGAACAAAAUUGUUAGUUAUAACUUGUGGUUCUUCAAUUCGUUUUAUAGACAGUUUAAAUUUUUUGCAGUUACCAUUAUCUCAAUUGCCUAAAGCAUUCAAUAUACAAGAAACAAAAGGUUAUUUUCCCCAUUUAUUUAACACUUUGAAUAAUCAAAAUUACAUAGGAAAAAUUCCCGAUCCUGAGUAUUACGGAUAUAACACUAUGAGUGAGAAAGAUCGUGUAAAAUUUUUAUCAUGGCAUUCAGAACAAGUGACCAAUAAUUUUGUGUUUAAUUUUCAAGUAGAAUUCCUUAAGUAUUGCAUUUCUGAUGUGGAUAUAUUGAGAAAAAGCUGUAUUCGAUUUCGGGAAUGUUUUUUGAAGACCAAUAAUGUAGAUCCGUUUUUAGAAUGCAUUACAAUCGCCUCAGCAUGCAAUUUAGUAUUCCGACGCAACUAUUUACGCGAAAAUUCAAUCGGUAUCAUACCAGUAUCUGGGUACAGAACCGCUGACAAACAAAGUGUCAUUGCUAUAAAUUGGCUACUUUGGGAAUCGAAAAAAAGUAACGUUCAUAUUAUCCAUAGCGGAAAUGCGCGAGAAGUCCGGUUAAAAGAGGGUAUGCUAGUUGACGGGUAUUGUGAAGAGACGAAUACCGUUUAUGAAUUCCAUGGGUGCUGGUGGCACGGGUGCGAGCUAUGUUUUUUUAAUCAAACCCAGAAAUUAUCCGAUAAAAACGACGCGUUAUUCUUGCGUCGUGAAAAUACACAAAGUAAAGAAGAGAGUAUUAGAACAUAUGGCUAUAACUUAAUUACAAUGAGGGAAUGUAUAUUUAAAGACCAAAUUAAAGAGAACCCAGAAUUAAAAAAUUUCAUUGAUAAUCGAAAUUAUUUGAAUAAACACACUCCUUUAAACCCACGCGAUGGCUUCUUUGGAGGAAGAACAAAUGCUUGUAAAUUAUAUUAUAAAUGUAAUGAAAACGAGAAAAUAGCUUAUCAGGAUGUUUGUUCCCUAUACCCAUUCAUUAAUAAAUACGGGAAAUAUCCAAUUGGGCAUCCGAAAAAGAUUUAUGUUGGGCAAGAGGAAUGCGCAAAUGUCGACCUAAAUUCUGUCGAAGGUUUAGUAAAGUGCACUGUAUUACCUCCUGCUCAACUUUACCAUCCUGUGUUACCAUUUCGAUGUAAUGGAAAAUUGACAUUUCCAUUAUGUCGUACCUGCGCUGAAGCUAAUUAUCAAGACAAUUGUUUUCACGAGGAUGUCGAUCGGCAAUUUACUGGGACAUAUGUGGCCGAUGAAUUACGUGUAGCUAUUGAAGAAGGGUACAGUAUAGUGGAACUUAUUGAAAUUUGGGAAUACAAUGUAGAAAUUUACGAUCGGGGUAAUAAAUCGGGCGGACUCUUUUCAGAAUACAUUAAUGCAUUCGUAAAAUUAAAGGUCGAGUGUUCUGGUUGGCCAUCUUGGGUAAGUACCGAUGAAGACAAAAAUGUAUAUAUUCAACAAUACGAGGAACGAGAAGGUAUAAAACUCGAUCCAACCAACGUAUCAAAAAAUUCCGGUCUCAGAUUUCUCGCUAAAAUAAUGUUAAACAGCUUUUGGGGAAAGUUUGGCCAAAAGGAAAAUCUUAAAAAAACUGAUAUAAUUAGCGAUCCCCAUGAGCUGUUUAAGUUGCUAACAAAUCAAUCUGCAAUUGUAAAUAGUCUAUUACAUAUUAACGAAGACGUUAUUCUGGCAACAUGGGAACGUGUAGAGGAAGAUAUAGCGCCCAUGAAAACGGUAAAUGUAGCUCUUGCAUGCUAUACAACAGCCGGUGCACGCUUAGAAUUAUAUAAGUAUUUAAAACCCCUUGGCAAAAGGGUAUUGUAUUUUGAUACCGAUAGUAUCAUUUUCGUUAAAAAAGAAGGGGAAUAUGAACCUCCUACUGGCGAUUUCCUAGGUGACCUCACUGACGAAAUGAUUGAAUAUGGCGAAGGUAGUUAUAUAACUGAAUUUGUCAGUGGGGGUCCUAAAAAUUAUGCCUACAAAUUUUGGAAUGAAAAUGAGCACAAAAUUCAAACUGUGUGUAAAGUCAAGGGGUUAAGUUUGCAUUAUCAAAAUGCUCAAUUAGUUAAUUUCGACAAAAUAAAAGACAUGCUGUGUAAUAACACCGACCAAACUGUUAAAUUGACCGAUCGCACAAUAAUUCGAAAUGAGACUUAUGAUGUUAUGACAAAAGAAACAACUAAGACGUAUCGUAUAAAUUAUACAAAACGACGACGUUUAGAUGAUGGUUCUUUUGACACCUUACCAUAUGGCUAUAGAGAUGUAUAAUAAUAUAAGAUGUAUUAUUUAAUCUUUUAAUAAAUAAAUAAAUCUAAUAAAUAUGAUUUCUGUGAUUUUAUUUUGAUUUAACCCAGAAUGUGUGUGUGUGUGUGUCGCGCCCGUCCCCGCGCCGCC